rnacentral:rRNA from 1 species
UGGAUCCAGACUUUGAUUAUGGCUCAGGAUGAACGCUGGCUACAGGCUUAACACAUGCAAGUCGAGGGGCAGCAUGCCGCGCUUUCGGGCGUGGUGAUGGCGACCGGCGCACGGGUGAGUAACGCGUACCCGACCUGCCCCGUACCAGGGCACAGCCCGUCGAAAGACGGAUUAAUGCCCUAUGUUCUCCGGAGUGUCCAUGCAGUCCGGAGCAAAGGUUCAUUCCGGUACGGGAUGGGGAUGCGUCCGAUUAGCUUGCCGGCGGGGUAACGGCCCACCGGGGCAUCGAUCGGUAGGGGUUCUGAGAGGAAGGUCCCCCACACUGGAACUGAGACACGGUCCAGACUCCUACGGGAGGCAGCAGUGAGGAAUAUUGGUCAAUGGGGGUAACCCUGAACCAGCCAAGUAGCGUGCAGGAUGACGGCCCUAUGGGUUGUAAACUGCUUUUGUGCGCGGAUAACCGGAGGGACUUGUCCCUUCCUGCAGGUAGCGCAUGAAUAAGGACCGGCUAAUUCCGUGCCAGCAGCCGCGGUAAUACGGAAGGUCCUGGUGUUAUCCGGAUUUAUUGGGUUUAAAGGGAGCGUAGGCCGCCUGUCAAGCGUGCUGUGAAAAGCCGGGGCUCAACCCCGGUCUUGCAGCGCGAACUGUCGGGCUUGAGUCUGCGGAAGGCAUGCGGAAUUCGUGGUGUAGCGGUGAAAUGCUUAGAUAUCACGAAGAACUCCGAUUGCGAAGGCAGCAUGCCGCAGCAGCACUGACGCUGAUGCUCGAAGGCGCGGGUAUCGAACAGGAUUAGAUACCCUGGUAGUCCGCGCGGUAAACGAUGGAUGCCCGCUGUCGGCGAGACACUGCCGGCGGCCAAGCGAAAGCGUUAAGCAUCCCACCUGGGGAGUACGCCGGCAACGGUGCAACUCAAAUGAAUUGACGGA